rnacentral:rRNA from 1 species
GAUGAACGCUGGCGGCGUGCCUAAUACAUGCAAGUCGAGCGAACGGACGAGAAGCUUGCUUCUCUGAUGUUAGCGGCGGACGGGUGAGUAACACGUGGAUAACCUACCUAUAAGACUGGGAUAACUUCGGGAAACCGGAGCUAAUACCGGAUGAUAUUUUGAACCGCAGGGUUCAAAAGUGAAAGACGGUCUUGCUGUCACUUAUAGAUGGAUCCGCGCUGCAUUAGCUAGUUGGUAAGGUAACGGCUUACCAAGGCAACGAUGCAUAGCCGACCUGAGAGGGUGAUCGGCCACACUGGAACUGAGACACGGUCCAGACUCCUACGGGAGGCAGCAGUAGGGAAUCUUCCGCAAUGGGCGAAAGCCUGACGGAGCAACGUCGCGUGAGUGAUGAAGGUCUUCGGAUCGUAAAACUCUGUUAUUAGGGAAGAAGAUAUGUGUAAGUAACUGUGCACAUCUUGACGGUACCUAAACAGAAAGCCACGGCUAACUACGUG